AGAUGAUCGUAUUAUUGGUGACAUUCCUUUUUCUUCAGCGGGGAUAUACUAUUGUACCAAUGAAGAUGGUCCAGCAUGGAGAAUCUGUGAGCUUUCAAUGUGAUCUGCCCAGUGAGUUUAGUGAAAGAGUCAUCCACUGGUAUAAGCAAGAGACCAGGCGAUAUGCUGAGACUGAUUUUGAAAGUGAUUAUAAAGACAACAACAACCUAAAAUCCCUGAAUUUGAGCCAGAGUUUUCUAAGUCAAGAUGGGAGGUAAAAACUAAUCAAAAAUUUAGCCGUCUGACAUUGUUGAAGGCAACCUACAGUGAUGAUGGACUCUAUCACUGUGCACUCGCUGCUUGGAACGGGAAUAUCGAAUGGAGAGGGACAUAUUGGAUGGCUAUAGGGAAUACUGUGAAAGAUGUCAGACUGCACUGUCAUUCAGCAGCCUGCAGCAUCCAAUCCAGUCCGUCUCGGAGACACGGCUACCCUUCAGUGUUCAGUUUUGUUUGAAUCUGAGACGAUGGCUUGCUCUGAAGAUUUCAGCAUGUUCUGGUUCCAAGCAAAAUCAAAUAACACCUAUCCAAAUAUGAUCUACACAGACGGAAACAAACAUCAUGAAUGUGAGAAGAGAUCUGACUCUGAGAAGAGUUGUAUGUUUAAUUACUCAAAAGUUGUCAACUCCUCUGAUUCUGGGA